AGCGAGCGCACACACACACACACACACACACACACACACACACACACACACACACACACACACACACACACACACACACACACACACACACACACACACACACGGACACACACACACACACACAUGCCCCUACACAGACACAGACACACACACACGCUCAAACUCUUAUGGUAUCUAAUCUCAGACGAACAAACUGAAACCCUUGCUAUGUAUUUAAGCGAUGGCCGUCUACUGUUAAUAAAUCAAUGUAUUAUAAAUGUAUUAUAAGUGUAUUAUAGGCAUUCCAACUCACUGAAAAGCACAUCAGCAACAACGAAAGACGCCCACACACACUGCGGCUGCGGCCACCUACACACCGACAAAUAGUGGUUGCAUAGUUGUUGCAUCCAUCCUUCCAGACCGCCUGUUGCUCUGUGUUACCUCUCCCUAGUAACACACACGUCACACAGACACCUGCACACACACACACACACACACACACACACACACACACACACACACACACACACACACACCCCAAUCAACCGGUAGUAUACACAGGUAUACUAUACACACACACACACACACACACACCAGUAAUAUAAGCAGCCAGCACACACACCAGCUUGCACGCACACCUGUACACACAAGCCCGCAGCACACAGUGGCAGGCGACACAAGACCUCUUUAAAACCCAAUUAGCACCCAGGUGUAGCAUCAUGAGCGUCGCCACGGUAACGCCUUCCCCCCUCCUCUUCCUCUUCCUCCUUUGAUGGAAGUUGGACGAUCGGUUUCUGGACAUUGCGUGGGGGGCGGGGGGAACAAGAUGGCCGCCACGCUCAGAGGAGGUGGGCGGAACCCUGGGGAGGUUCCACCGUCUCCACGGAGACGCUGCGCCACCAUCUCCAGGGUGACCACACAUCGACCAGCGCGACACGCCUGCAUUCUGUACCCAGGGGGCUUCCACCCGGGUGCUAGUCCCGUAGUGGGCCGAUGGGCCGUAGAGCUGGGAGCUGAUUGGAUAGUAUCGAUCAAGACCUACACAACAUGGAGGAGGGGGGCUGUGUGUGUGUGUGUGUGUGUGUGUGUGUGUGUGUGUGUGUGUGUGUGUGUGUGUGUGUGUGUGUGUGUGUGUGUGAGAGACUGGGUUUGUGUGUGAGAGACUGGGUUUGUGUUCUUGUUUUGCUAUUCAGGGGACAUUUGACCGUAAGCUGUGUGUGAACGUGUGCGUGCACAUGUGUGUCAGUGUGUGUGUGCGCGCGUGUGUGCGUGUGUGAGCAUGUCUGUGAAAACACGGUUUGGGUUGGAAAGCCACACUGAUGGACAUGUUGGAAUAGAGUAAUUUGGUCCUGAAACAGAAGUGGCUAUUUCAUGGUUGGGUAGAGUGACCAUGACUGACUAGAGAGAGAGAGAGAGAGAGAGAGAGAGAGAGAGAGACUGUAUAAUAUUGUCUGGAAUUUUCUUCUUGGAACUUUAGAUUGAAGAAAUUCUUGGUGUGAUGUCGGAGAACUGGACUUAAACCUCUGCUUACUUUUCCCCAUUUGGAGUCUGCCACUCUGUUUUUCUAAUCAACUGGGAAAUAUCCAAUCCUAUAUUCCGUUAUGUCUCAAAUCAAGUUUCUUCUGAAUACAGAUAUUACGCACGCAAACCGGCUCUGGGAUUGCACUGGGAUUGUCUCAAAUUGUAGUUUUGCUAAAAAUAGUUUCACUAAAACUUGUUUUGUGGCGCCCCUAAAAUAGAACGCAGGCAUCCACACAGACGAAAGGUUUCCACACUCGUUCCUUAAAGAGUCCCACUGUGGCCAAUCGCAGUAUUGAUCCUGAACCGGUCUGAGCCGGCUGGUGUCGGGCGAUGGCCCGGGCGAAUGGGGGGGGGGGAGUUAAUGGCGUUCUGCUCGAGGCCAAAAGGCCCUGCCCUUCGUGGGGACGUUCCACCGGGCGUGACUCAUCCCGAAGUCUCCAAUUUGGACGGUAAUGAAAGUGUUUAAACUGUGCCAAGAGGUCGGUGUGCUUGCUGUACCUUUUCCCUGGAAAAACACACACACACACACACACACACACACACACACACACACACACACACACACCUUUGAACGAAUCCACCUGACACACACACACACACAUGUAGAAGUACACGUACGUACAUCUACACACACUUCCACACACUCUCCCAUACACUCCCAAAAACACACACAUGUAAAAUCACACGUACGUAAACACAACCACAGACACUCACACCGACCGGCGUGCACAUGUGGACGGACCAGACAACAGCGUCGAUGCUGACAGGCACACGGCCUUGGGUGCGAAGACGCAUCAGUAAAACAUUUACAUGGAGACUAAAACAUUUACAGACACCUUUAGGGCACUCACCGAGCUGCGGCCAAUCAGAAGCCUCGACUCAGUAUCGGAGCAGCUACAGAACUCCUCUCAGUAUCGCACAAGCAAGGUCUGAAGUAAACCUAUAGCAGCUGGUCAGAGUGCAGAGUAGCAACCGGAACACACUCACACACACACACUUUUAUUUAUAUAUAUAUAUAUACAUGUAUCCAUAUAUAUGAACAUGUUAACCUCAUAUACCAAGUAGCUGAACCUGUAGCCGUAAACAACACGUAUACCUGCCAUACAUCUCCGUAGACCCCCCGUGGACACAUGCAUGCUUAGACCACACACACACACACACACACACACACACACACACACACACACACACACACACACACCUGCUGUCUAAGUCUACAGUGCCUAGAAUGGAUCAUUACAUUACUGUUAUGAUGAUGAUGUUGAUGAUAUACAUAUCUAUACAUCCAUAAUAAACAGG
ensembl:lncRNA